AGCUUACAGAUCUAUAAGAUCGUAACAGGCUUCAUGUUGUAGCAGAGCUGAAGCCUAUCUUGAUACUGUCAAACCCACCUCGUCUUGGAGAGAUACCACAAUUGCAGCUGAUGCAUCGAACUUCUAGGAACGCCAUACACAUCAAUUUGGACCCCAUCUACUAAUAACCAAACAACCCAGAACCUACUGAAGAAUUACAAAGUUCGAAGUCCCAAAAGCAAUACAGACUUGAUAGUAAUACCUUGAACAGGUUGAUCGAUGUGACCAACAAUUAAAAUAAUUAAUAAGAGGGUAAAGGAUAGAACGGUUCCAACUAUCAAUAGUAAAACGAUACGGAAGAACAAACUUACCCCAAUAAUGACUAAUAAUGCAUUUUAAAAUAACCGUUAUGUUACAUAUUCCAACCGAAGAUGGAACAUACGCGUCGAUUGUUAAUCGAUAAAUAGGUGAAGACAGGCAAGAGUGAAUGAACAAUUUUAAAAUUUAAAUACCAUUUAUUACCACCUAAUCAUUACUUUACCUUAGCAUAAAGUGAUGGUAGUUUGGUGAAAUCCCUCCUACUGCGAAAACUGUCAUUAAAAAAUCCCGAAAAAGGCUUCAUUACUAUUUAUACAAAACUUGUUUCGAAUCUUCCCUCGUAAUGGUAGUUUUAAUGCUCAAAUGUAAUAAUAAUUACCAUUUUUUACGAACCUCAAAUGUAAAGUCGAGUACCUUGCAUGUCGGAAGUACGAUCAGGCCAAACGCUAUGAACGGAGUAGUUUCUGUCGGUUGAAGUUGCAGAAACGAACGCAGAGAAAGAGAGCAAGAGGAAAACAGACCAGAGAGGGAAGAGACCCCGGGCAAUCCCCGUGCGAUCUCCCCUCGAAACCAAAAUAUACUAUUUUUUUAUUAUGUAUGACCUGCCAUGCAAGCGCACCUGUCAUGGCAAAGGCCGGAUGACAAAGAGCUACCUGGAUUCAACCUCCUCGAAAAAAGAGGUCUAAUCCCGAUAUCUUUUACAUCCACAAACACUCAUCUACUUCUCGGAUGCUUUCAUUAUUUUCAUACAAGAUACAGCUUCCAUCGAAUACUCGUUGCCAGCUCAGCUACAUCACACUGACGAAAUGGAUGUCGAAACUCAUCUCGAUCUGUAAUAACCAGCAGAGCAGAAACGAAUCCAAGAGAUACGCCAAGUGAUACUGCCUCAUGCCAACAUCCAGUACCGUCAACGACUCCAGACCUGUUUGAUUAAAUCGAAACGCCUUUCGUUGCAUAGUAAUAAUAAAGAAAACUAACGGAAUCAAGAACCAAACCCUGUAUUGGCGCGUACGGGAACGUUGACCACUCCUUCAUCGUUGAAGAUAUGCAAAUAGCACACAACAAGAAAAGAAACAACAAUAUUGAAGUCCACGAAUCCCCGUCAGAUCAUAAACCUAUAUGAGGAUAGAUUAAGAACGGAUGUCGAACCUUCUGGAAUUAUACUAAACAACCAGAAUCUGUCACCCAGAUCUAACGACAUCGCCCAACACAAAUCCAACAGAGAAACCAUCCAGUACCUAUAUUGCCUCAACCAACAUCCAGUACCUUAUGUGACUCUAAACCUGUUCGAUGACAGCGAAACGCCUUUCGUUGCAUAGUAAUAAUAAAGAAAAUUAACGGAAUCAAGAACCAAACCCUCUAUUGGCGCGUGCGUGAACGGCAAUCCCUCCAUCGUUGUAAACAUGCAAAUAGCACACGACAACAAAAGAAACAACGAUACGGAAGUCCAAGAACCCCGUCAGAACAUAAACCGAUAUGAGGAUAAAUUAGAUCGGAUGUCGAACCUGCUAAAAUCUAAAUAAACAACCAAAACCCGUCACCGAAGACCGAGUCGCCAAGAGACCGCAAUGAAUUCGUAGAUCUACCCCAGAUCCGUCGAUCUACGACAACACAACAAUCCAAGAAUCGCAUUCAGAGCAUGAACAUGGAAGAUAAUAACUCAGAUCUGAAGUUGAACUCGACAGAAUCAAAAUAAACAAUAAAACUCCGAAACCGAAGACCGAAUCGCCAA